rnacentral:sRNA from 1 species
GCUCUAUGGUCGGUUGUUGUCGCUUUGAAACAUUCCCCAUUUCCUUUCUCAAUUAUAUUUGGAGAAUGUAAUAGAUGGAUUUUACUCAUGAUAAAAUUGAGAAUGGAAAUGGGGAAUGUGUUAAGGAGACAACAACCCGACCAUAGAA